UACGUAGGCAGCAAGCGUUGUUCGGAAUUACUGGGCGUAAAGAGUGUGUAGGCGGUGCUCUAAGUUUGGUGUGAAAUCUCCCGGCUUAACUGGGAGGGUGCGCCGAAAAACUGGAAUGCUUGAACAUGGGAGAGGAAAGCGGAAUUCCUGGUGUAGCGGUGAAAUGCGUAGAGUAUCAGGAGGAACACCUGCGGUGUAGACGGCUUUCUGGACCAUUGUUGACGCUGAGACACGAAAGCGUGGGUAGCAAACAGG
rnacentral:rRNA from 1 species